UGGAGGGUCCAGGAGGAAGCCUUUUUCUCUACUUGGCACAGCCUCAGAACACUAAUGCAGCAUCAGGACUGCUCUAAUUUGUUGGUGAGAACCCAGAUUCAAGGGGUGGGCCUGGCCAGGACAGGGACAGAGUCAGGCCUGGCUUCAGGAUGGUGAUGUUCUGCAGCCUGGUGGCCUGAGCUCAGCAGUGGCAGUCACCAGGUAGCCUGUGGACAACAGUAGCAGCCUGGAGCUACAGUCGAGCUGCCCCAUAAGCCUGCAGGUGUACCAUCACUGAUGGCCAUUGCAACUAUAGACACAGGCCCAACUCCUUCAGACUAGAAACUCCUCUCCUGCUCCUGACUCUCUGCUGCAACCUUAGAGGUCCUGCAUUUGUCAGAUACAGCAGAUGUGCUCUGGGCACCAGAUGCCAUAGGCCUUUCUCCCAGGCUCAAACCAUGCUGACUUUUAGCUGCAGUCCUUAACAAAGAAGAUGGCAGCAGGAACUUCAACACCUUCCUCUCAGUGUUAACUACAGGACAAAUCUGAACUCGUCCCUGUUCAUCACGUCUGUCUUCAGGCUCCUCACCAGCACCAGAAACUCUGUGCUUCCUCAGAGGCUGUGGCAUCAAUAAAGGUUUAUCUAUUGAACAAGAA